rnacentral:rRNA from 1 species
GACGAACGCUGGCGGCGUGCCUAAUACAUGCAAGUAGAGCGCUGAAGGGUGGUGCUUGUUCUUCUUGGAUGAGUAGCGAACGGGUGAGUAACGCGUGGGUAACCUGCCUUUUAGCGGGGGAUAACUUUUGGAAACGAUAGCUAAUACCGCAUAACAACGUUUAACACAUGUCAUUUGUUUGAAGGGGGCAAUUGCUUCACUACAAGAUGAUCCUGCGUUGUAUUAGCUAGUAGGUGAGGUAAUGGCUCACCUAGGCGAGGAUACAUAGCCGACCUGAGAGGGUGAUCGGCCACACUGGGACUGAGACACGGCCCAGACUCCUACGGGAGGCAGCAGUAGGGAAUCUUCGGCAAUGGGGGCAACCCUGACCGAGCAACGCCGCGUGAGUGAGGAAGGUUUUCGGAUCGUAAAGCUCUGUUGUAAGUCAAGAACGGGUGUGAGAGUGGAAAGUCCACACUGUGACGGAAGCUUACAAAAAAGGAAGGCUGACCUAGGU